UUUGUUGAAUAAAAUUCUGGGUAGAAUUAUGAUAAUGACAUUAUCUGUCCAUAAGUCUUGACCAAAUUACGUGCCAGCAGUCGCGGUAAUACGUAGAAGACAAGUGUUAUUCAUCUUUAAUAGGUUUAAAGGGUACUUAGACGGGAAAUCAAGCCUCAAAAAGGGACUAAUUUGCUAGAGUUUUAUGUGAUAAAGUAUUAAAGUACUACUGGUGUAGAGAUGAAAUUCUGUAAUACCUUAAAAUGGCACAGGUUAAGGCGAAAGCAUCUUUUUAUGUAAAAACUGACGUUGAAGGACGAAGGCUUUGUGUCUCGAACAGGAUUAGUUACCCUAGUAGUCUAAGCAGACAAUGAUGAAUGUCAUAGAUUAGAUGUAAUUUGAUCUAUAAAUGAAAGUGUAAGCAUUCCACCUCAAGAGUAAUUUGGCAACAUUGGAACUGAAAUCAUUAGACCGUUUCUGAAACCAGUAGUGAAGUAUGUUGUUUAAUUUGAUAAUCCGCAAAAAACCUUACCACAAUUUGAAUAGAUAUAUUUUAUCAUACAAGCGUUGCACGGCUGUCGUUCAGUAAAUGUCGUGAGAUUUUGGUUAGUUCCAUAAAAAUUAACGUAAACCCUUACUUUAUUUUUAAAUAAAGUAGUUCACCGCUAUUUCG
rnacentral:rRNA from 1 species